rnacentral:rRNA from 1 species
UACGAAGGGGGCUAGCGUUGCUCGGAAUUACUGGGCGUAAAGCGCACGUAGGCGGAUUGUUAAGUCGGGGGUGAAAUCCUGGAGCUCAACUCCAGAACUGCCUUCGAUACUGGCGAUCUCGAGUUCGGGAGAGGUGAGUGGAACUGCGAGUGUAGAGGUGAAAUUCGUAGAUAUUCGCAAGAACACCAGUGGCGAAGGCGGCUCACUGGCCCGGUACUGACGCUGAGGUGCGAAAGCGUGGGAGCAAACAGG